UUUCCGUAGGUGAACCUGCGGAAGGAUCAUUAUUGUAUAACCGAGGUGCGAGGGCUGUCGCUGACCCGAAAGGUCGUGCACGCCCGAGUGCCCUCACACACAUCCAUCUCACCCCUAUGUGCACCACCGCGUGGGUCCCCCUUUGGCUUGUUCGGAGGGGGGCUUACGUUUUCACACAAACUUUGUAUGCAGUGUAGAAUGUAUUUUUUGUUUUUGCGAUCACGCAAUCAAUACAACUUUCAACAACGGAUCUCUGGCUCCCACAUCGAUGAAGAACGCAGC
rnacentral:misc_RNA from 1 species